UUUAAUUUUUUUUUCCAGUUAACCUUAACGGAAUAUUCUCAUAUUUAACAUAAUAUUAUUAUAUUUAAUAGUAGAUGUGUGAAACCUGAGACUUUUCUCAGGUUGGAAAAGUCAAAAAGGGAAGGAAAAUAAAGAAAAAAUAUAUAUUUUAAUUUAAUUAUAUAUUCAGUUUUUUUUUCUUUUCUUUUUCUCUCUCUCCCCGACACUCUCCUCCUCUUCUUCUUCUUCUCUCGGCAUCCCAUGGCAAGGCACCAGACCCAACCACCACCGCCCACCAUUUUUGACGUGCGGCAGCUCAUCGGUUUCGCCUUGCUCCGGCGACCUCAGCUGCCAAGCGGCACCGCCCAACUCGCCGUCAAUCGUUCGGAAUCGCCAGUCAAAGUUUUGGUCCAUCAACUUUGACUGUGUUUUUCGGCCAACUCCGACCACCUCUUGACGAGUGGUUGAUACCCUUGGAACCAGCGUGGAGAGAGGAACAAAACCCACUAAUUCAUUCCAGUCAACUCGCCGUUUUUCUCCCGCAAGAUUUUAGGUAUCUCCGCCCUUUGGAAGCGUUUUCCGGCGACACCGGAGGUCAUUUGGGCAAAGGAGCUGUACUUUCGUGAUGUACUCAUCGAGAGGAUCGUUUUGAUAUAUGCUAUGCAUAUAUUCGUCGACGUUUCCGGUACCGCCACCAACCGCUAUAGUGCACCGCUUGGGAAAAGCGUGAUAUUAAAAUCGGACUAAAUCAUUCUAAGAUCAUCGAUAAGCUUAGGAGCGUUGCUUUGGGCUCGGAUUGAAUUCUAAGGAGGUAUCUAAAGAGGUAGGGACUCAACUAGACUAUUGGACUUAUUUUACUCGUAUUAAAUUGCAUUCAACAUAUUCCAAUUUUGAUAUUUAUAAAAUGUUUGAAAAAUUGAAAACUUAACCUGCAUAUUUUCUGAUCUGUUCUGAGGGCACUGAGUGUCAAAUAUAUAUUUUUGUUCACUUAUUUAUGCAGGUUAUGAUUUUGAGUUUAUUCAAAUGUAGCUGUUAUGCUGCCCAAUUUUCUAGAAUAUAAAGGGAAUAUGUUUCUUUCUUUUCAUGUUUACCUGCAUUUGGUUAUACCGAUGAGAGCCAUAGUGAUCAUGAUUGGUGCACGUUGUUGUUUCACGACCUAGUCUCUGUGUUAUCAUAGGUAGAUUAGGUGUCCACUCACCUGUAGGUGUAAAGACCUAGCAUCUGUAUACAGGAAGUGUUUUGAGCCUCCCCCUUGUGGUAGUUAUCAGGUCCGGCUACCCGGUUUAGGAUGUCGGAUUUUCUAUGGUGGGUAACGGGAACUAGGGAUCUAGUGGACGGUGUGAUGUGCACUUGUAGCUAUGCUCUUAUGAUUAUUUGUGGUCUCUCUAUUUUGGUUUAUACAUGAUGAUGUAUGUUUUGUUUUAAAAAGCUAACCAUGCAGGGGUUUUUAUUGAACUUUUGAGUCCUAUGUUGUUAGUUGCUUUCCUACUGGGCUUUAUAAGCUCACCCUUAUCUCUCCCAUUCCAGGAGCCUAGUGACGCGAACGUGGAAAAGUAUGAAUUAUUGCUGAAGCAAAUGUGUUUAGUGCCAUAGUCCUAUCUUUUGAACAUUGUAUGUAUUUAAUUUGGAACCUAUCGCUCUGUACAUCUAAAUUAGCUAUGUCCUAGUUAGAAAUGAGGAAUGGUGGAUGCUAAGUAUUAUUUUGGGUAUUUUAUGACUUAUUAAAUUUAACUGUUUGGUGACUACAUAA